GCUCUGUGCGCGACUUCAGCGCCAUGGCACGUUUGAACUACAGGGGGCUAUUGUAAUAUAUUUAUUAUGUAUUGAAUGGCUGUCAGAAAUAAUAAUAUCGAAUGAUAAAUAAAAAAAUGUUUUUUUAAUUAAAGGAAAUAUUUAUAAUAAAUAUUUGUUAAUGUAAAGUGUUCUUGUGCAUUAAAAAGUGAAAUAUUUGGAUUUAAAAUGGAAACCAUAAUAAAAACGGGAUUUCAAUCAAUAACCCACGAAAUUCAGUUCCAGCCACAGACAUUGGUAAAA
rnacentral:lncRNA from 1 species